GCGCCCAUUCUGCCCAGUGGCUGAAUCAGUAGGAGGAGCCUGAGACCUUCACCUCCUGCUGUGUGGCCUGUUGGACCAGCCCGACCCGGGUUCUAACCUGAGGUUCUAAUCCAGGUCCUUACCCCGGUUUUAACCUGGGAUCUAACCUGGGUUCUAACUCAGGUUCUAACCUGGGUUCUAAACACGGUUUUGACCUGGGAUCUAACCGGGGUUCUAAUCUGGUUCUAAAAAAGGUUCUAACUCAGGUUGUAACUCAGAUUUUAUCCUGGGAUCUAACUCAGAUUUUAACCUAGGAUCUAACCUGGGUUCUAUCUCAGGGUUUUAGUCUGGGUUCUAACUCAGGUUCUAACAAAGGUUCUAACCUAGGUUCUAACUCCGGUUUUAACCUAGGAUCUAACCCAGGUUGUAACUUAGGUUCUAACUCAGGUUCUAACCCAGGUUCUAAUUCAGGUUCUAACCCGGGUUCUGAGGCAGGAUGAGGAAUGGUUCUGGAACAGAUGUGGAUGUUUGGUUCAUGAUGAUCGGUUUAUUAAAAUGACAAAAUGUUGAGUUUUUCAUUGAUUUUUUAAGCAAAUGUUCAUUAAAGUAUUUAAAGUUUG